GUCGUAGCUCAGCGACAGAGCAUCUGUUUUGCAUGUGGAAGGUUCCGGGUUCAAGUUCCAGCAUCUCCG